GAGACAGAGAAGGAGGUAUGGAGAGAGGCAGAAGAAGGGAGGAGGGGAGAGAGGCAGAGAAGGAGGUAGGGAGAGAGGCAGAGAAGUGGGAGGGGAGAGAGGCAGAUAAGGGGGAGCUGAGAGAGGCAGAGAAGGGGGAGGGGAGAGAGGCAGAGAAGGAGGUGGGGAGAGGCAGAGAAGGGGGAGGGGAGAGAGGAGAGGGGUAGAGAAGGAGGAAGGGAGAGAGGUAGAGAAGGAGGAGGGGAGAGAGGUAGAGAAGGAGGAGGGGAGAGAGGAGAGAGGUAGAGAAUGAGGAGGGGAGAGAGGAGAGAGGCAGAGAAUGUGGAGGGGAGAGAGGUAGAGAAGGAGAAGGGGAGAGAGGAGAGAGGCAGAGAAUGUGGAGGGGAGAGAGGUAGAGAAGGAGGAGGGGAGAGAGGAGAGGGGUAGAGAAGGAGGAAGGGAGAGAGGUAGAGAAGGAGGAGGGGAGAGAGGUAGAGAAGGAGGAGCUGAGAGAGGAGAGAGGUAGAGAAUGAGGAGGGGAGAGAGGUAGAGAAGGAGGAGGGGAGAGAGGAGAGAGGCAGAGAAGGGGGAAGGGAGAGAGGAGAGAGGCAGAGAAGGGGGAGGGAAGAUAGGCAGAUGUAGGAUGGUUAGAUAAUGAUCUAGGGCUAACCACUGUUGUGGAUAUCAUUUUUGUGAAGACAUUUUUAAAUGUAUUUUCUGCAGUUCUUGUUUUAUUUUCUUAAAGAAAGAAUAAUGAACAUGGAUUUAGUUUAGUUUUUUGACUAAUGGACAUAGUACCAAGUCUCAAAGCUGCUACCAGUAGGCUAACAGCUCAUGUUCACGUUCACAGAGUACCGGCAAGCAAAGCUACAGGAAUAAAGAUUUGAAGACAUUUACAUGGUAACCAAAGGAGAAACUUGUUUUCUGUGGUGAACUGGUACAAAGUUGACUGGGAUUUUUCUUUCUUACUUUCAGGGGUAUAGUGCUGCCAGAGCUCAGAGGAGCUCCGUCACUUAAAACAUUUUGGACCUGGUUGAAACUAUUGACUUAUUUUGAGCUGUGGAAUCCAGAACGACAUGUGGCCAUUUGGUUACGGCGACACCAUUCUGCCGAGGACACCCAAACCAGAACGGCCACCGCAGAGCCCAAGGAGCCUGGCCCUCUCUGCAAGUUACUGUCUGCCUGCUUGGGACAUUUAGCCUACAAUGGCUAUUGGUUGAGACACUGCUCUAGCUUGGUAUGUCAGGGUGGCCAAUGGGAAGGUAAUAAUGCCUUUAAGUUAUAGUUUAUAGUUUAUUGAGAUGCUUAAUACAACCACAAGCAAAGGCUGUUUUUCCUGCGGUAGUAAUGAUUUAUGCUCACUUGGUGGUCAAUUGAUUUGAUAGCGUGUUUAAUCUAUGCAAAUAAAUUCUAUGAAUUGAUA